rnacentral:rRNA from 1 species
GUAACAAGGUCUCCGUAGGUGAACCUGCGGAGGGAUCAUUACACAAUAAAAUACGAAGGCCGUUCGCGGCUGGACUAUUUAUUACCCUUGUCUUUUGCGCACUUGUUGUUUCCUGGGCGGGUUCGCUCGCCACCAGGACCACAAUAUAAACCUUUUUUAUGCAGUUGCAAUCAGCGUCAGUAUAACAAAUGUAAAUCAUUUACAACUUUCAACAACGGAUCUCUUGGUUCUGGCAUCGAUGAAGAACGCAGCGAAAUGCGAUACGUAGUGUGAAUUGCAGAAUUCAGUGAAUCAUCGAAUCUUUGAACGCACAUUGCGCCCUUUGGUAUUCCAAAGGGCAUGCCUGUUCGAGCGUCAUUUGUACCCUCAAGCUUUGCUUGGUGUUGGGCGUUUUUGUCUUUGGCCCGCCAAAGACUCGCCUUAAAAUGAUUGGCAGCCGGCCUACUGGUUUCGCAGCGCAGCACAUUUUUGCGCUUGCAAUCAGCAAAAGAGGACGGCAAUCCAUCAAGACUCCUUCUCACGUAUGACCUCGGA